CUCCAUUGGGUGAGCUGGAGAAAGGCAGCUUAUCCAAAGUCUCAAGGGGCUUGGGUUUUCGAGAAUUUAGGCUUUUCAAUUGUGCUUGUUUGGCAAAAUAAUGUUGGAGCUUUAUCCAAAAUCCAUCAAAUCUGUGGGCUCAGAUAGUUAAAAGUAUUUAUUUUCCCCAUUGUUCGUUUUGGCAAGCUUCUUCUUUGAGGAAAAAUAAGUCUUGGAUUUGGCAAGGUUUGCUAGCAGGGUGGGAUGUUUUAAAAGAGGGUUUUCGCCACAAUAUUGGGGAUGGUAAGGAUACCUUGUUAUGGUUGGAUCCGUGGUUACCUUCAGCUCCAAAUUUUAAAGUGUUAAGACCAAUGAAUUGUCCCUCUCAUAUAAAUGUUGUUGCUGUUCUUACAAUCCAUCACUCUCUUACUUGGAAUCACAAUUGGGUGGAUGUUCUAUUUGCUCCCAAUGUUGCCAAGGAGAUUAAGAAGAUCCCAGUCGCACCUUUAGGUUGUAAAGAUUCCUUUGCUUGGCACUUUGAUAAAUCUGGUGUAUAUUCUGUCCGCUCUGGAUAUAAAUUCCUGGCUCAAAAGGCAAGGAACACUUAUUCUAAUUCAUCUACUUCAAUCAGCAAGCUAUGGAUUAGUCUUGGAAGAAGUUAUGGAGUAUUCCUAUUCAACCUAAAAUCAAAGUUUUUAUUUAGAAGGCUUUACUUGAUGCUAUUCUAGUAUGAGACUGUCUAGCAAGAAGGGGAGUCCCUGUUGAUUCGAAUUGCUCAGUAUGUGGUAAUACUGCUGAGACAGUGUAACACAUGCUAUUUUGGUGUGAUCAUGCUCGAGCUACUUGGUUUUCAAGCCUAUGUAGCUACAAGCCUAACCCUAUUGGCUUCACAUCCUUUGCUCAAUGGGGGUCUAAGUUGAUCUCAGAAUUUCAUAAUGAUGUAGAAGCUUGGUGUGUAGUGGCAAUUACGUGUUGGAUGAUUUGGAAAGAAAGGAACAAGGCUGUUUUUGAUCAUAUAUCUCCUAAUCCCAUUAAUGUACCUCGUAAGAUUACAAAUGUUGUUAAGGAACUUCUCCUGCUGCCAGAGACUAUUAAUAGUCCCACUCGUUGUAGCAAUAGUCCAGUUAAUUCUGUUUGGGUAGCUCCUCCGCGUGGUUUUUUAAAACUAAAUGGUGAUGUUUCUUGGAAAGGAAAUCAGAUGGAAUCAGUAGCAGCUGUUAUAGUGAGCAAUCAUAUGGGAGAUCUUCUGGAUGGCAAAGCUUCCUUUAUCUGUGCGAGUUCUCCACUAGCAGGGGAAGCAAGGGCUAUGCUAGAAGCUUUGAAGUUAGCUACAGCAAUGGCAGUCAAGUUUAUUGUUCUUGAAACUGAUAAUGCAG
rnacentral:misc_RNA from 1 species